rnacentral:lncRNA from 1 species
UAGUAAGAAAGCUCUUUUGAUCUUUUGCAACAGCAGUGGGGAGCAUGAGAAGGAAGGAUAUCACUGUGGUGAAAAUGCAGAAGCCUCUCACGGCGACGGUAAGUAUUUUUUUGGUCAUCAUCCAAGUUGGUGUGUUUUAGAAUCAAUAUGUCAUAUAUUGUAGUGUUCUAUCACCCUUGUUGAGUCCUAAGCUUGCAAAUGCUGUGGCUGUUUCCUGUUGCAGUUUUGCUACGGCAUGCAUGAACUUAAACAUGAAUGAUGAAAGCGAGCAAACGGCCAGUCGUUGAUUCAGCAUGUCCAGGACGGCGUUGCCGAGUACCACAUGCCUGCUUGGCUCCGUUGCUGUCUGAUUCCCCCAGGUGUCUGGUGACAAACAGAACGUUGUAUUGGACAGGGUUAUGGCAUUCAAACCAGAAUAUUUGACUGGUAAUUUCUAUGUAAUAUGUUAGGAAUAUUUAUAGAACCGUUAUACUUAUGAUAGAUAAGUAUUAUGAAAGUGAUGUCUGAGAAAUAUACUGGGAUAAUUUCCCUGUACCAAAUACGAAUGUUUACUCCAUUCCAUCCG